rnacentral:rRNA from 1 species
AAAAUAGAAAUUAAAAAUAAAAAAAAAUAAUAAAAAUAAUUUUAAUAUUAAAAUAAAUAAUGGGGGUUAAAGUAUUUUAAUAGAAAAAAUAAAAAUUUUUAUAGUAAAUUAGUAUAAUAAUAGAAAUUUGAAAUAAUUGAAAAUAAAUUUUAUAAAAAGUAAAUUUAAAUUAUUGUAUCUUGUGUAUCAGAGUUUAUUAAAUAUAAUUUAAUUAAAUAAAUAUCUCGAAUUUGAAAGAGUUAAUUAAUUAAUAAAUUUAAUGUUGAAUAAUUAUUUUAAAUAAUUAAUUAGAAAUGAAAUGUUAAUCGUUUUCAAAAAUAUCUAGUUAUUUUAGAAAAAAAUUUAAUUUUAAAUUUAUUUAUUUUUUUUUUAUAAUUAUAUUAUAUAAAAAAAAAAUAAAUUUUAUAAUUUAAGGGAUAAGCUUUAAAUUAAAUUUUUAUAAUAAAAUAAAUUAAAAUUAAAAUUUUUAAAAUUUAAAUUGUUUAGAAAUUAAAAUUUAUUAUAAAAAAUUUUAUUAAAAAUAAAAUUUAUAAAAAUUUAAAUUUUUAUAAAAAUAUAAUAAUUAAUAAAAAAUUAUUAGAAAUAAUGAUAAAAUUAGUAUAAAAUAAUAAUAAUAAAAAAAAAAAUUUAUUAAAAAUAAAUAAAAGGAAUUCGGCAAAAAUUUAUAUUCACCUGUUUAUCAAAAACAUGUCUUUUUGAAAAAUAAUUUAAAGUCCAUUCUGCCCACUGAUUUAUAUUAAAGGGCUGCAGUAUUUUGACUGUACAAAGGUAGCAUAAUCAUUAGUCUUUUAAUUGAAGACUUGUAUGAAGGAUUAGAUGAAAUAUAAACUGUCUCUUAUUUAAUUAUAGAAUUUAAUUUUUUAGUUAAAAAGCUAAAAUAAUUUUAAAAGACGAGAAGACCCUAUAGAGUUUUAUAUUUAUUUAUAAAUUAUAUUUAUAUAAAAUUUUAAUAUAAUUUAUAAUUAAAUAUUUUGUUGGGGUGAUAAAAAAAUUAAUAAAACUUUUUUUAAAAAUAAACAAAGAUAAAUGAAUAAAUGAUCCAUAAAUAAUGAUUAUAAGAAAAAAUUACCUUAGGGAUAACAGCGUAAUAUUUUUUUUUAGUACAAAUAAAAAAAAAAGUUUGCGACCUCGAUGUUGGAUUAAGAUAAAAAUUAAAUGCAAAAGUUUAAAUUUUUGAUCUGUUCGAUCAUUAAAAUCUUACAUGAUCUGAGUUCAAACCGGUGUAAGCCAGGUUGGUUUCUAUCUUUAAUAAAAUAAAAUAUUUUAGUACGAAAGGAUCAAAUAUUUAAAAUAAUUUUAUAAAAAGAAUAUUAAUAAUAAUAAUAGUAUAUAUAUAUAUAUAUAUAUAUA